UCCUCACCUUACUAUGACAUGUGGACUUCCCUUUGUCAUCCUAUGCCUGGAAUCAAAUAAAAGGGGGCUGGGAAGGCAAAGGGAUGCUCAGCUGUCAUACAAGCA
rnacentral:pre_miRNA from 12 species